CCUCCCAUGCCUCUCAUGGAAGCACAAACAGGGAGGU
rnacentral:sRNA from 12 species